CCAGUAGUGUAUGCUUCUCCUAAAGACUAAGCCAUGCAUGCAUCCGAAUAAGAGUUUUCUCUCUGAAUCUGCGAACGGCUCCGCAAACCAGUUGUAAACCAUAGCAAGCUCCAGGUUGACCGCAAGGUUGAUUAUGGGAUAAGGAUAACCCUGGUAAUUCUGAGGCUAAUACAAGGACGUAACACCUGAUCGACCGGGAAACUGGAAGGUUAGGGGGUGUGUAAUUAGGCGCAACAAUUGCUGGGAGUAGGUGCACGCUCUGACCGCCGUUAGAAACGGUUUAGCUAAGCUUCGGCAAGGCUAUUUCCGGGUGGCUCUUGCGAUGUGCUUCUGACCUAUCAACUAGAUGGCAGCGUAAUGGACAUGCUAUGGUGACAACGGGUACAGAGGAUAAGGGUUUGAUCCUGGAGAGUGGGCCUGAGAGAUUGCUCAUACUUCUAAGGAAGGCAGCAGGCGCGCAACGUUCCCCUUGGGCAAUGCUCGAGGGCGUUAGGGGACAUAUGGAUGCUUGCCAUCUGGUAGGCAAUCCAAAUGG
rnacentral:rRNA from 1 species